rnacentral:misc_RNA from 1 species
UGAAUGCACUGCUCGGGGUCUCU